AUUGAACGCUGGCGGCAGGCCUAACACAUGCAAGUCGAACGAGUGGCGGACGGGUGAGUAAUGUCUGGGAAACUGCCCGAUGGAGGGGGAUAACUACUGGAAACGGUAGCUAAUACCGCAUACCAUCGGAUGUGCCCAGAUGGGAUUAGCUAGUAGGUGGGGUAAAGGCUCACCUAGGCGACGAUCCCUAGCUGGGCUUAGAGGAUGACCAGCCACACGUGAACUGAGACACGGUCAAGAAUCCUACGGGAGGCAGCAGUGGGGAAUAUUGCACAAUGGGCGAAAGCCUGAUGCAGCCAGGCCGCGUGUAUGAAGAAGGCUUUCGUGUUGUAAAGUACUUUCAGCGGGGAGGCGUUACCCGCAGAAGAAGCACCGGCUAACUCCGUGCCAGCAGCCGCGGUAAUAC
rnacentral:rRNA from 1 species